rnacentral:rRNA from 1 species
UACGUAGGGGGCUAGCGUUGUCCGGAAUCAUUGGGCGUAAAGAGCGUGUAGGCGGUCCGGUAAGUCCGCUGUGAAAGUCGGGGGCUCAACCCUCGAAUGCCGGUGGAUACUGCCGGGCUAGAGUACGGAAGAGGCGAGUGGAAUUCCUGGUGUAGCGGUGAAAUGCGCAGAUAUCAGGAGGAACACCUAUUGCGAAGGCAGCUCGCUGGGACGUAACUGACGCUGAGACGCGAAAGCGUGGGGAGCAAACAGG